AGACACCGACUGCGGUGAAGUGAGAAGCUGCAGUCUAAUGAAAAGAUGACCAGAAGGCUUCCUCGUAUGUUCUCGGCUCAGCUGCAGCCUCGUUCCUCACCUGGUUCUCCAGUCUCUCACCAUCAUAAAGCCCGCCUUCCUCUCCUGACUACUCAGUCUUCCAGCCUUCAGCCUGCUCUCCAGCAAGACCCACCCCUCUCCGUCUUCUGCCCUACCUCUUUCCCUCCCCUGGCAGCCCCUUCCUACUAUCCCACCUUAAGGAUCUCCAUGCCCAGCACCUCCAGACAUUCAGAGAAGCGCACCGUGCAUCUCCCUCCCCUCUCCUGCUACUCCUCCAUCCUUGUCCCUACUCCCCCCAACAGCCCUGUUGAAUAGUUACCUUCUCUCUAGUCCCCACCUUCAGCCCUCCCACCCACCCUCAGCCAUACCAGGUGAGCCACCAAUCUCAUCGUGGGGAAAGGUUCCCCUACUGCUACCAGCAUUCAGAAGUUCCAGUGCCGUGGGCACCUGGAAACUUGACCUUACAAGGACUGCAGAACCAUGGAGCCAAUACUGAGUGCCUCUCCGUUGACGUCCGUGCUGCCUGGGUCUCGGCAGCUGAUCCUAACUGAGCAGGAAUCCAGAGAGUUCUAGAGAAGUCAGCCCCCUAAGGACACCAGUAUUUCUCGGUUCACAGGGGUGGCCUGGAAGGACCCAGAGUAAAGCCCUAGCUCUUGGGUGGAAAGAAUACACGUGGACAUGUUGCGUCCUUCACCUUCCUAGACAGCUGUGGCAAGCUCACCGCACGCGACAGGAAGGACCAGUGUGGCUGGCCCAGCCAGCCCAGCUUGCUUCAGACUCCUUUGGAACCUGCAGAUAAUAGACUGUGUUUGUCCAAGUUGCAGGAGGACUGAAGCACUUCGUGCCUUCUCAUUAUAAACUUGGGAACAAUGUCAUCAGGUGACCCUGGUGACAACCCAAGACAUUAUACUCUCCAGAACAUUAGAUACAGGUACUGUGGACCCGUAAGAUGUAUCCCAGCCCAAAUGAUGCUUGGGAGCAGAAUCGGCUGGAGGGUCAUCGACAUGAGUGGAAAACCCUCACCUCAUUCAGGAAGAGGACCCCCAACUUCAAUAUGAGAACAUGGGAAGCCACGCGGAGGGGGCAUCUCCGCAUGUCUCCUUAUAUUUGCUUAAAAUAUAUUGAUUACAUUUAUUGCAA
rnacentral:lncRNA from 1 species